rnacentral:rRNA from 1 species
UACAGAGGUCUCAAGCGUUGUUCGGAUUCAUUGGGCGUAAAGGGUGUGUAGGUGGCGCGCUAAGUCGGGUGUGAAAUUUCGGAGCUUAACUCCGAAACUGCAUUCGAUACUGGCGUGCUUGAGGACUGGAGAGGAGACUGGAAUUCAUGGUGUAGCAGUGAAAUGCGUAGAGAUCAUGAGGAAGACCAGUGGCGAAGGCGGGUCUCUGGACAGUAACUGACGCUGAGGAGCGAAAGCGUGGGGAGCGAACAGG